rnacentral:rRNA from 1 species
GUGGGGAAUCUUGCGCAAUGGGCGAAAGCCUGACGCAGCCAUGCCGCGUGAAUGAUGAAGGUCUUAGGAUUGUAAAAUUCUUUCACCGGGGACGAUAAUGACGGUACCCGGAGAAGAAGCUCCGGCUAACUUCGUGCCAGCAGCCGCGGUAAUACGAAGGGGGCUAGCGUUGCUCGGAAUUACUGGGCGUAAAGGGCGCGUAGGCGGACAGCUUAGUCAGAGGUGAAAGCCCAGGGCUCAACCUUGUGAUUGCCUUUGAUACUGGCUGUCUUGAGUUUGGGAGAGGUGAGUGGAACUCCGAGUGUAGAGGUGAAAUUCGUAGAUAUUCGGAAGAACACCAGUGGCGAAGGCGACUCACUGGCCCAAUACUGACGCUGAGGCGCGAAAGCGUGGGGAGCAAACAGGAUUAGAUACCCCUGUAGUCC